AUUUCUUAAUCUAUUUGUUAAAAGGGGUUGGCGGUCUAAGUUGGCCCCUAUUCGAGCAGUAGUGAUAAAAAUGAGUUUAGAAUUGGGACAUCAUUUUGGGAAAUUUACUUAGUUGGCCAAUAGUUGGAUGAGAAGAUUGAUACCACUGAUACUUGUCUUACACUUUGGUUUUCUGUAAAUUACACAAACAAUAUCUAACAGUAUUUAGUGUGAGUCACUUGACCUGAGAGACAUGUUUUAUAACGAUUAACCUUGUCUUAGUUCUGGAUGUCUGCUGCUGGCUCGCCACACUCCGUGAUGAUCACUAUCAGACAUUCGAAAUCUGAAUACAUGUUGCGGAUGACUUUUGAUUCUGAGAAGUGUGGCUAGUGGUUUCCAGUCUCGCUAAACUCUUUCCUACAGUUUUUCUUUUCUUACCAUUCAUUAAGAAGUAAAUGAGAAUGGCAGAGAGAUCUAAUCGGUUCCUAUCAUUUUGAAGGAGUAUAUUCAGAAGUUGAUGCUUAGGUAACACAAAGUAUAAAACAUGAUGUUAUCUUUUUGCAGGACACGAUGCCUGAAGUGAGGCAAAGCUUGUUUGCUCUGUUGGGUGAUCUAACUAAGGCCUGCUUCGUCCAUGUGAAGCCUUGUAUUGCAAUUCCAAUUGGCAGACUGGGUUAUGUUUGUCCGCAGGAAGUGGCACCUCAGUUGCAGCAUUUCAUAAGACCAUGAUCCUUCAUGGCUUCAAAGACCAGGUCGGAGAAGAGAACUGGCAGCAGUUCUCCGAGCAGUUCCCCCCUCUGUUGAAGGAGCGUCUGUCUGUCUGCUACAGCGUCUAACCCAAACUCCCCCUGGUCCACACAGGAAACACACCUGUUAGGUUAAUAUAGGGGAGGGUAACUGGGGACCUCACCCCAACCUCCCCCUGGUCCACACAGGAAACAGUCCUGUUAGCAAUUCCAAUUGGCAGACUGGGUUAUAUUUGUCCGCAGGAAGUGGCACCACAGUUGCAGCAUUUCAUAAGACCAUGAUCCUUCAUGCCUUCAAAGACCAGGUCGGAGAAGAGAACUGGCAGCAGUUCUCCGAGCAGUUCCCCCCUCUGUUGAAGGAGCGUCUGUCUGCCUGCUACGGCGUCUAACCCAAACUCCCCCUGGUCCACACAGGAAACACACCUGUUAGGUUAAUAUAGGGGAGGGUAACUGGGGAGCUCAGCCCAACCUCCCCCUUGUCCACACAGGAAACACACCUGUUAGGAAUUACAAUUGGCAGACUGGGUUAUGUUUGUCCGCAGGAAGUGGCACCACAGUUGAAGCAUUUUAUAAAACCAUGAUCCUUCAUGGCUUCAAAGACCAGGUUGGAGAAGAGAACUGGCAGCAGUUCUCCGAGCAGUUCCCCCCUCUGUUGAAGGAGCGUCUGCCUGCUACGGCGUCUAACCCAACCUCCCCCUGGUCCACACAGGAAACACACCUGUUAGGUUAAUAUAGGGGAGGGUAACUGGGGAGCUCACCCCAAUCUCUCCCUGGUCCACACAGGAAACACACCCGUUAGGAAUUACAAUUGGCAGACUGGGUUAUGUUUGUCCGCAGGAAGUGGCACCACAGUUGAAGCAUUUUAUAAAACCAUGAUCCUUCAUGGCUUCAAAGACCAGGUUGGAGAAGAGAACUGGCAGCAGUUCUCCGAGCAGUUCCCCCCUCUGUUGAAGGAGCGUCUGCCUGCCUGCUACAGCGUCUAACCCAAACUCCCCCUGGUCCACACAGGAAACACACCUGUUAGAUUAAUGUAUGGGAGGGUAACUGGGGAGCUCACCCCAACCUCCCCCUUGUCCACACAGGAAACACACCUGUUAGAUCCUCCAUGGCUUCAAAGACCAGGUUGGAGGAGAGAACUGGCAGCAGUUCCCCCCCCCCUCUGUUGAAGGAGCGUCUGUCUGCCUGCUACGGCGUCUAACCCAAACUCCCCUGGUCCAAACAGGAAACACACCUGUUAGGUUAAUGUAGGGGAGGGUAACUUGGGAACUCAUUGCACUGCCCAGAACGUGGGGGAAAAACGAGCUGGAGGGAUGUGGCUGACCUUGACCCUCGAUUCAGCGGAUGGCAUCUUUCCCCCGCACCCUGUGCCUCUGAAGGAGGGUG